rnacentral:misc_RNA from 1 species
UCCGGCUUGUCACCGGCAGUUUUCCUAGAGUUCCCGGCAUAACCCGAUGGCAACUAGGAAUGAGGGUUGCGCUCGUUGCGGGACUUAACCCAACAUCUCACGACACGAGCUGACGACAGCCAUGCAACACCUGUCUCCUCCCCGGCCGAACCGAAGGGCUUCCAUUACAAAGCCCAAAAGAGGGAUGUCAAAGGUUGGUAAGGUUUUUCGCGUAGCAUCGAAUUAAACCACAUGCUCCACCGCUUGUGCGGGUCCCCGUCAAUUCCUUUGAGUUUUAAUCUUGCGACCGUACUCCCCAGGCGGAGUGCUUAACGUGUUAACUGUGUUACUAGGAAAUCCUAACAACUAGCACUCAUCGUUUACGGCGUGGACUAC